rnacentral:rRNA from 1 species
AGCGAACGCUGGCGGCAGGCCUAACACAUGCAAGUCGAACGAACCCUUCGGGGUUAGUGGCGGACGGGUGAGUAACACGUGGGAACGUGCCUUUAGGUUCGGAAUAACUCAGGGAAACUUGUGCUAAUACCGAAUGUGCCCUACGGGGGAAAGAUCUAUCGCCUUUGGAGCGGCCCGCGUCUGAUUAGCUAGUUGGUGAGGUAAUGGUUCACGAAGGCUACGACCAGUAGCUGGUCUGAGUGGAUGACCAGCCACAUUGGGACUGAGACACGGCCCAAACGCCUGCGGGAGGCAGCAGUGGGGAAUCUUGCGCAAUGGGCGAAAGCCUGACGCAGCCAUGCCGCGUUAAUGAUGAAGGUCUUAGGAUUGUAAAAUCCUUUCACCGGUGAAGAUAAUGACUGUAGCCGGAGAAGAAGCCCCGGCUAACUUCGUGCCAGCCGCCGCCGUAAGAC